rnacentral:rRNA from 1 species
AGUGAACGCUGGCGGCAGGCCUAAUACAUGCAAGUCGAACGGCAGCACAGCAGAGCUUGCUCUGUGGGUGGCGAGUGGCGGACGGGUGAGGAAUACAUGGGAAUCUGCCCAGUCGUGGGGGAUAACGUAUGGAAACGUACGCUAAUACCGCAUGCGCCCUACGGGGGAAAGCAGGGGACCGCAAGGCCUUGCGCUCUUUGAGCGGCCGAUGUCAGAUUAGCUAGUUGGUGAGGUAACGGCUUACCAAGGCGACGAUCUGUAGCGGGUCUGAGAGGAUGAUCCGCCACACUGGAACUGAGACACGGUCCAGACUCCUACGGGAGGCAGCAGUGGGGAAUUUUGGACAAUGGGCGCAAGCCUGAUCCAGCCAUGCCGCGUGAGUGAAG